rnacentral:rRNA from 1 species
GGGUUAGUAGGUUGGUCAUGCCUCUGGUAUGUACUGGUCUCACUGAUUCCUCCUUCCUGAUGAACCGUAAUGCCAUUAAUUUGGUGUUGCGGGGAAUUUGGACUGUUACUUUGAAAAAAUUAGAGUGUUUAAAGCAGGCCAAUUGCUUGAAUACAUUAGCAUGGAAUAAUGAAAUAGGACGUUCGAUCCUAUUUUGUUGGUUUCUAGGAUUGACGUA